GACAGAGGUGGCAAGCGUUGUUCGGAUUCAUUGGGUGUAAAGGGUGCGUAGGCGGUUUGGAAAGUCAGAUGUGAAAUCCUACAGCUUAACUGUAGAACUGCAUUUGAAACUUCCAGACUAGAGUAUGGAAGAGGUGAAGGGAAUUCCCAGUGUAAGGGUGAAAUCUGCAGAUAUUGGGAAGAACACCAGUAGCGAAGGCGCUUCACUGGUCCAUCACUGACGCUGAGUGCACGAAGGUGUGGGGA
rnacentral:rRNA from 1 species